rnacentral:rRNA from 1 species
CCCGCAAGGGUGAGUAAAGUGGCGUACGGGUGAGUAACACGUGGAUAAUCUGCCUUUUUGUGGGGGAUAACCUGGGGAAACCUGGGCUAAUACCGCAUAAGCUCGUAAGAGGAAAGCUGAAAGGCGCAGAAAGAGGAGUCCGCGGUCGAUUAGCUAGUUGGUAGGGUAAAAGCCUACCAAGGCAACGAUCGAUAGCCGGCCUGAGAGGGCACACGGCCACACUGGCACUGAAACACGGGCCAG